rnacentral:rRNA from 1 species
UACGUAGGUGGCAAGCGUUGUCCGGAUUUACUGGGCGUAAAGAGCGCGCAGGCGGUCGUUCAAGUCGCGUGUGAAAGCCCCCGGCUCAACUGGGGAGGGUCACGCGAUACUGAUCGACUCGAAGGCAGGAGAGGGAAGUGGAAUUCCCGGUGUAGUGGUGAAAUGCGUAGAUAUCGGGAGGAACACCAGUGGCGAAGGCGACUUCCUGGCCUGUUCUUUACGCUGAGGCGCGAAAGCUAGGGGAGCAAACGGG